UGCAAUAUAUUCAACUUCGUUCUAAGAAUACUUGGCAAAGUGGUAAUCACCCAAAAAGCAUAAACACAAAUUAAUGCCAUAAACCAAGCCUACUUACACCCUUUCAACUUAAUUCCUAAUUGUAAAUUGUGAGUAAAGACAAACUAAAGUCUAAGUGAAGAGAAAGAAUUAAGUUCAUACCUUUCUCGCCUUGGAUAUGAGGGAUGAAUGCGGGAAUUAUUGAGGAAUUGAAUGAGGGUUAGGAAUGUUGAUGGGUACGUGUGUGUUCGAAUGAGAGUAUUUCAUCCUAAGGCUUGAGAGAGGAAUAUGAGAGGGAAAUGAAGAAGGUGUG
rnacentral:lncRNA from 1 species